CAAUAGCGUAUAUUAAAGUUGUUGCAGUUAAAAAGCUCGUAGUUGGAUCUCGGGUCCAGGCUGGCGGUUCCGCUCGUGCGGACACUGCUCGUCCUGACCUACCAGCCGGUUUUCCCUUGGUGCCCUUGACUGGGUGUCUCGGGUGGCCGGAACGUUUACUUUGAAAAAUUAGAGUGUUCAAAGCAGGCGGUUCGCCUGAAUAAUGGUGCAUGGAAUAAUGGAAAAGGAUCUCUGUUCUAUUUUGUUGGUUUUCGGAACUAGAGGUAAUGAUUAAGAGGGACGGACGGGGGCAUUCGUAUUACGGUGUUAGAGGUGAAAUUCUUGGAUCGCCGUAAGACGAACUACUGCGAAAGCAUUUGCCAAGAAUGUUUUCAUUAAUCAAGAACGAAAGUCAGAGGUUCGAAGACGAUCAGAUACCAU
rnacentral:rRNA from 1 species